UCGGGGUGGUUCCACCUUGCCCCCUGCCGAACUCAGAAGUGAAACGCCGUAGCGCCGAUGGUAGUGUGGGGUCUCCCCAUGCGAGAGUAGGGA
rnacentral:rRNA from 1 species